rnacentral:rRNA from 1 species
AUUGAACGCUGGCGGCAGGCCUAACACAUGCAAGUCGAGCGGAUGAAGGGAGCUUGCUCCUGGAUUCAGCGGCGGACGGGUGAGUAAUGCCUAGGAAUCUGCCUGGUAGUGGGGGAUAACGUCCGGAAACGGGCGCUAAUACCGCAUACGUCCUGAGGGAGAAAGUGGGGGAUCUUCGGACCUCACGCUAUCAGAUGAGCCUAGGUCGGAUUAGCUAGUUGGUGGGGUAAAGGCCUACCAAGGCGACGAUCCGUAACUGGUCUGAGAGGAUGAUCAGUCACACUGGAACUGAGACACGGUCCAGACUCCUACGGGAGGCAGCAGUGGGGAAUAUUGGACGAUGGGCGAAAGCUUGAUCCAGCCAUGCCGCGUGUGUGAAGAAGGUCUUCGGAUUGUAAAGCACUUUAAGUUGGGAGGAAGGGCAGUAAGUUAAUACCUUGCUGUUUUGACGUUACCAACAGAAUAAGCACCGGCUAACUUCGUG